rnacentral:lncRNA from 1 species
GAGUGGACAGUUUAUGCUGUAGUGUUGAGGUGGAUGUUCUACCGCUGUAGUGUUGAGGUGGAUGUCCUGUAAUGUUGACGUGGAUGUUCUACCGCUGUAGUGUUGAGGUGGAUGUCCUACCGCUGUAAUGUUGAGGUGGAUGUCCUGUAGUGUUGAGGUGGAUGUCCUGUAAUGUUGAGGUGGAUGUUCUACCGCUGUAGUGUUGAGGUGGAUGUUCUACCGCUGUAGUGUUGAGGUGGAUGUCCUGUAGUGUUGAGGUGGAUGUCCUGUAGUGUUGAGGUGGAUGUCCUGUAGUGUUGAGGUGGAUGUCCUACCGCUGUAGUGUUGAGGUGGAUGUUCUACCGCUGUAGUGUUGAGGUGGAUGUCCUACCGCUGUAAUGUUGAGGUGGAUGUCCUGUAGUGUUGAGGUGGAUGUCCUACCUCUGUAGUGUUGAGGUGAGUGGUCUGAACACUCCUUCCUCCCAGAGGGCUCCAUAAUAUCUGAGCAGCUUUAUUACUGACUAUACUGUGGAAACAAAAUAGCAGGAAAUGAUUUGACUCAUGAGGAAAGAGAAACAAAGGAUCUAAAUCCAGUAGUGGAUGUGUAUCUC